rnacentral:rRNA from 1 species
AACCUCCGCAAUGUGAGAAAUCGCGACGGGGGGAUCCCAAGUGCCAUUCUUAACGGGAUGGCUUUUCAUUAGUGUAAAGAGCUUUUGGAAUAAGGGCUGGGCAAGACCGGUGCCAGCCGCCGCGGUAACACCGGCAGCUCUAGUGGUAGCAGUUUUUAUUGGGCCUAAAGCGUCCGUAGCCGGUUUAAUAAGUCUCUGGUGAAAUCCUGUAGCUUAACUGUGGGAAUUGCUGGAGAUACUAUUAGACUUGAGACCGGGAGAGGUUAGAGGUACUCCCAGGGUAGAGGUGAAAUUCUGUAAUCCUGGGAGGACCGCCUGUUGCGAAGGCGUCUAACUGGAACGGUUCUGACGGUGAGGGACGAAAGUUAGGGGCGCGAACCGGGAUUAGAUACCCGGGUAGUCCUAACUGUAAACGAUGCGGACUUGGUGUUGGGGUGGCUUUGAGCUGCUCCAGUGCCGAAGGGAAGCUGUUAAGUCCGCCGCCUGGAAGUACGGUCGCAGACUGAACUUAAGGAAUU